rnacentral:rRNA from 1 species
AUCUAAGUAGGCGGAGGAGAAGAAAAUAACAAUGAUUGCGCAAGUAGUGGCGAGCGAACGCGCAAGAGCCCAAACCAAACCGGUUACGGCCGGUUUGGGGUUGUAGGACUACGAUGUGGACUUAGGAUUUAUAGUGGAACAGGUUUGGAAAGGCCGAUCAUAGAGGGUGAUAAUCCCGUACACGACAUAAAUUUUAUACCUAGUAGUAUCCUGAGUACUGCGGGGUCGGAGACGCCCUGUAGGAAAUUGCCGGCACCAUCCGGUAAGGCUAAAUACUCCCAAGAGACCGAUAGCGCACAAGUA